AAGUUGGUCUACAUUAAGGUCCAAAGGGUCCAAAAUUAAACUUUGUUUGAUUUCAACAAAAAUUGAAUAUAUGGGGUUCUUUGAUAUGCUGAAUCUAACCAUGUAUUUAGAUUUUUUAUUUGUGGACCCCGCUAUCAAAUUGGUUCAUAUUGAGAUCAAAAGGGUCCAAAAUAAAACUUUGUUUGAUUUCAUCAAAAAUUGAAUUAUUGGGGUUCUUUGAUAUUCCAAAUUUAA